CUUCCUGGGCCUUAUCAAUCCUCGACCACUUUUCCGUUUGAGAAAUUUAGAGGUGACGGCUGUAAAUAAAAAAUUAUAUAUUACUACUUACUCUGCGAGUUCAUGAUUAUUGAUAUGAUGCACAAAUGUAAUUCACUCAACAUUUACUCGGAGCGUUAAGUAGCAAUCGCAUUGCCUAAAAUAGAGUGAUUGUUUCUCAGACUCUUGUGAAAUCUGAUCUUUAUCAUUAUCCAGAUUGGGCAAACACUGUUGAAGAUACAUAUAAGCUCUUGAAUUUGUUUAUGUAUUAUUUUACUCCAACUGCUCUCUUGACAGAAGAGAUCUAAACGUUUAAUUCGCGUUCACAGUGACCAAGCUUUUGAAAAAUUCUCUUAAAAUUCAAGAUGGCAGCCACGUAUAAAAUACAGAAGAAUAGACUCUAGUAGUGCAACGUAGUACUGAAGUCAGAAAACAGUGGAUCUAUAUACCUGGAUCAAUAAUAUUAAAUCUCUUUCAUGAAUGAAUUUAUGCAAAAUUGGGUCGCCACGUCCUUCAUAAAUGUUCAAUACUUUGCUCGUUUAAUGCAAAGACAAACGUGACUUCAACGUGGAUGAGUAAAAUUAGCCCUCGAUCUGUCAUCGAGACUUACGAGAGAGCAGAACGAGAGCAAAUAAUGUAAAAUUAAUUGGAACCUACGAAAAGCCUUCUCUCGAUGGAUACAGCCCACUGCCAAGAUAUUUUUGGAAUUAACAUACAUACCUAUUGUUUUUCCAAGGUUCCCUCAUUGUGCAUCCUCCAUCAAUAUUUAUUAAGUUUAUUUACAGUUCGUGCUACACUGUUGUAAUAUCGAAUUGAUAUAAAAGAUAUUUAAAAAUAAAAAAAAAACAAAAAGUA